rnacentral:tRNA from 2 species
GCGAAGGUGGCGGAAUUGGUAGACGCGCUAGCUUCAGGUGUUAGUGUUCUUACGGGCGUGGGGGUUCAAGUCCCCCCCCUCGCACCA